AAGGUCCAUUCCGGGGAGCAUUUCUGAGUCCUCAUCUUCCUGGGAUGCUCCUUGGAGGACCAUCUGAGAAUCCUUCUACUGCACACGGAAGAAAAACCAACUCACAUUGUGGCAAACAAAGCAAACACAGUGCCCCCCAGCGGUGCUAGACCCCUCAGGACUCAGCCGGCUCCUCAAGUGUCUGUCUCACUGCACACUCUCAGGUCUGCCUUUCCACAGAAAGUCAGAAAAUAGAAAUUCUGACUUUUUCAGCUACACCCAGUUCUUUCUACAAAGAAUAAACAUGAAGCUUCCUGUAGCAAAGAAAUGAAGUUUCAACUAGUUUACAGAACUCAGCAAGGUCAGGAUGAACGACGGAAUCACAAAGGACUAAGGAAUUCCACAGGGCCUAGAUUUCCAGGAGAGGUUUUCGCCAGUCUUGAAACUACAGAAGUAAAACCUGAAGUUGUGAUCCAGGCUAUAACUGAGCUGUAUAAUAAAUAAUGAACCUCAGAUUCAAUGAAAUAUAACAGACCUUAUCAUCCAAUACAAAAGCUGUAUUACUGAACACUACUGAAGAAA